GAUGCAUCCAGCGACUGAUGAGUCCCAGACAGGACGAAAUGCACG
rnacentral:hammerhead_ribozyme from 15 species